AACAAAAUAUGACAAUGAUAAUACUACUAGUAGUAGCAAAAACAGAAGUUAUAAUAAUAAAAAAGAAACUAAAGAUGAUAAAAUAAAUACAUGUAAUAAUAAAAAUAAUAAUAAAAUAAAUCCUACUUUUUCUGACUCCAUUACAGGAAAUAAUGAAGGAAAAGAAAAACUUUUAUUUCAUUCUUAUCAAGCAAUGUUGGAAAAUGAACAUACUAAUACAGUAGAUGAAAAAAAUAGUAACAUCCGUGCAAAGUGUUUUAAAUCUGUUGAGAAUAAGAAUAGCAAUGGCACAGGUAGUGUAAGCGAAGAUGAACUAGCAGGCCAACAGGAAAGCCAACAGGAAAGCCAACUGGAAACUACUUUAGAAAUAGGUAUAGAAAAAAAUAAUUUGCAAAACAAUAAAGUAUUGAUUUCUGUAGACAAAAUGGACAAUUUACAUAAUAUGUCAGAGGCAGAAAAAGUAUCGAAUCAAUUAAAAAGCAGCAACAUACAAGAUGAUAAUACCCCUCAAGAUAUGUUCGAAGGUGUACCAGACGAAGUAAAAAAAAGAUAUAAAACAUGGACCGAAAAUAAAAAAAGUUUUUCUGGACAAAUGAUAAAUAUUUGUCGAAAUAAAAGACCUUUAAGUAAUGCAUAUGUUGGAGAAAACUCAUCAAAGAAUGAUAUUUCGUAUAGCAAUUUUUUAUCAUACCUAUGGAAAAAAAACAUGAGCACAAUAAAUGUUAACCUGAGCUUGGAAAUAACUGAUGUAAGUAUUAAAAAUGGGCUAUAUACAUUUCAUUACAUUUAACGUUUUUUAUUCAUAUGUUUAUUUAUUUAUUUAUUUAUUUAUUUUUGUGUACAUUCUUAUGAAUUUUAUAUUUACUUCUUUGUAAAUUCAUUAGCAUCCAUAUGUCAUUAUACGAACAAGUUUUUCUUUUUUCAUUCAUACCACUUUGCACAUAUACCAUUUGUCAUUUUUUUUUUUUAUCACCAUCUAAUGCUUUAACAGGAAUUAAUAAAUCAGUUUGAUUUGCACUUUUUGAAUUUUAU
rnacentral:lncRNA from 1 species